CCUUGCCAGCCCGCUCAGAAACUUAAUGAAUUGACGGGGCCCGCACAAGCGGUGGAGUAUGUGGUUUAAUUCGAUGCAACGCGAAGAACCUUACCUGGUCUUGACAUCCCGGAGACCCUUAGGAAACUAGGGGGUGCUUCCAUCUGGAAGAAUCUGGAGACAGGUGCUGCAUGGCUGUCGUCAGCUCGUGUCGUGAGAUGUUGGGUUAAGUCCCGCAACGAGCGCAACCCUUGCCUUUAGUUGCCAGCAGUUCGGCUGGGCACUCUAAAGGGACUGCCGGUGUUAAACCGGAGGAAGGUGGGGAUGACGUCAAGUCCUCAUGGCCUUUAUGACCAGGGCGACACACGUGCUACAAUGGCCGGCACAGCGGGAAGCGGAGGGGCGACCCUGAGCGGAUCCCUUGAAAGCCGGUCCCAGUUCGGAUUGCAGUCUGCAACUCGACUGCAUGAAGUUGGAAUCGCUAGUAAUCGCGGAUCAGCCAAGCCGCGGUGAAUACGUUCCCGGGCCUU
rnacentral:rRNA from 1 species